AAUUAAAGGAAGAUAAUCAGCCAACGGUAUAAUAGAUAAAAGACAUGAACUAGCAAUUAUAAAAAGAAAAUAAAAAUAGCAAAUGAACCUAUGAAAGAUUGAGAAGACUCACUGAUGUAACCACGGACCCACUAGGACCAGUUCAACUGACCCGUAUUAUCAACAGUGUAAUUAAGAGUUGUUGUUCAGGAACUGAGAGUUGACCCCUUGUCCAGUUCAGGCCAAUUGAGACCACCAACCCAUCAACUGGGCCUGUGAGAAUGCCUGAUAGGUGACCCUUUUGAUGUUGAGGGGCUGAAAACAUCACCCUCAUCACGCUAACACCUCCAUUUUGUGAACAUGCAUCCUAUGAAGAGCCGUGCUGCUUGACGAUGCUUGCACAGAUCAUCAAUUACUUCACUUCUCCCUACCUCCAGUCAUCUAUUCCCACACUUCAGACCACCCUGCCCUUUUAUCCUGUAAAUUUUGCCCCAAACCUUGGAUUAGAGACACAUGUUUGUGAGCUUUGCCUCCUGUCUCCUUGCUGGUCAACCUCACAAUAAAACCCUCUCCUUCCUCAAAAGCUGUUGCUGAAAUAAUUGGGUUUUUAUGUGCAUCAAGAAGAGAACCCUAUCUUUGGGUGGCAACACUAAUAGUCAAAGAAGUUUAAUACAUCCAUAAGACACAGUGAUUUUUAUUCUAUGUGCCACAUAGGCACCAGUUAUGAGAUGGUAACUUGACGGCCUUUGGGUUAGUAGAGGGAGGCGUUGGGUUGGGAAGAACAGGCAGUUUGACCACAUGAUCUCUCAUAACACCUAAGACCUCUUUCUUAUUAUAAUGUACUAUCUUGUGUUUGGUCACAGACAAACGAUAGGAGCAAUUUCUUGCCAGAAAUAUACAUACGUUGAAAGAGAUACAGAAAAUUUAAUUGUGCCUCCUUUUCUCUAACGUUACCUGGCACGUGGUAGAUGUCUGCAUACAGAGCCGGUUAGUAAAAUUGUCAUGUACAUCUCAGGUUAGUGAGAUAUUGUCUCCUCUCAUGAGAUGGGCCAGUGUGAAAUAGGAGGGGUUCAUCUGCCAGGAAAGGAAAUGGAUGGAUAAAUACAGAGGAGAACAUUUAUUGAGCAUAGUGCAGGGACUCUCCUAAGAAGCUUACACGUUACCUUAUGUAAUGUUCACGGCAAUCCUAAGAGGUAAGCAUAGUUACCCUUAUUUAAAAAUGGGGAAAGUGAAGCUCAGAGAGAUUAAACCACUUGUUUGCGAUCUCAGAGUAAGGAAGAGAAGGGUUGGGAUUACUAAUACCUGGAUAUGUUAAGCCCACCAACCCACCGCCAGAGGGAUGAGCAGAGUAGAAACCCACGUUUUACAUUGCAUUUAGCUUAUUCUUCAAGGUUUAACAAAUAAACCUGGUGUUGUUUUAAGAAAAAAAUAUAUUAUGUUUAAAUAUGUACCUUUUGAAUGUAACUAGUGAUUUUUUAAAUCAAGGGGCAAGUCAUCUGCUCUCAGCAAUAUUUCUGCAAGCAGAGAAUGUUUGUUGAGAAAAAAGUAUUCUGAUUUGAAGCUAGAAUCUGCAGAGUUUUUUCUAAGAAGUGACGAAGAUUCCAUGUGAUAAGUGUAUAUUUGAAAAAAAUUGAAAUUUUAAAAUAGAACAUUUUAAACUUUCAUCUUGACAUCUUGAAAAGCACAGUUCACAGUUUUGAGAGUGUUCUCCAUCGAUUCCAGUUUACGUUAGGUUACACUGUUCAUAUUGAGCUGUAAUCAUAUUGAACUGUGUUCUGACGGAGAAUUUUGUGUUGGAGAAGAUUCUUCAUUAUUAUAAUAAAAGGCUAUUUUCAAGAAUCCCAAUGAGUAAAAUAGUCUUUGGGAGCUUAAUGGCAAAGAGAAGGAUAGAGCUGAGGAAUGUCAAAGUCCUUAAUUCAGGAAGAUAAGUCAAGCAGAUUUAGAUAUAUAUAUAUAUAUAUACACACAAGAUUUUUUCCUGGGGUCUCUGCUCAGCUAAUAAGCCUCACCUCCUUUACUGAUAACUGCUAUCUUCCAACAGAUAUGGACCUUGGCCACCAUAAUUUUACUCUGUGACCCUAUUCCCCCAACAGUCCCCUUCCAUAUGGCUUACAGAACCAAGAGUGGGCACAUGACCCCUCGAAGGAUUAAUCAUAUUCUCCCAAUUCAGGAUCUAAAAUCCAGAUUUAAAGAUGGUAGUCAAAUUCUGCUGGUCACAUAUGAGAGGUGUGUGAACUUCGGAAAUAUAGGAUGGCCAUCUUUUGCCAGGUACCCAGAGAAGCAGAGAAAAUCAAUUUGUAGAAAGAAAAGAAUAAAGGAGGCAUGUAAACAAAACUUGGGAUGCCACUGAGGACGGGACUGAGGAAGUUCGGGGCUUGAUUUUUCUGACAGGUUUCUGUUUCCAGGUUUUAAUCUCUUCUGACUGUGUUUCCUUUCUUUGGGUCCCAUCGAACACCCCUGUCGCCUUUUGAUAAAUUCCACCUUUCCUAUUUUCCUGCUUAAACUCGUUUGUGUGGGUUUUUGUUUACUUACAACCAAAAGACUCUUGAUUAAAACCCCAGGCUGUCACCCACAUGGAGGCCAGCCAAGGCUAUUGUUUCUGGGAUGGCCUUGUGUUACACAGUUCUAGAAAGUGAAUCAACCAGGAAGUUCCCUCUCCAACUUCAAGGCAGCAAAAUUGAAUGCUGGGAGCCCUGGGCACAGCUGAGGCUAAGAUUCGGAGAGAGCAAAUCUAGCCGGAGCCCAAAGGGAGGAAUGCCAGGGAAUUUCUGAAGUGGCUUAUUUCCCAGGGUUAUUGUGAAGUAAGUGAGACAAUAUAUAUAUAAAUGCUUUCUUUAUUGUAAAGGGUGAAAUAGUUCAGUGGUUUAGGGCACAGAUUCUGCAAUCAAGUUCCCUGAGUUUAAAUCUUGGCUCUGUUGCUUUUCUGGCUGGGUGACCUCAGAUGAGGACACUGAGGAGGAGAAGGGUUGAGUACCCUGGUCAAGAUCUCAGAGGUGACAUAUGGCAGAGCCCAGUCAGGUCUAAACCCAAGACUGAUUGUCUUCCAACUGGCAAGUCUACAGCUUUAAUCUCAAUGCACAGCCAUAUUUAAGAUCAUGUAACGACCUUUACAUGGCUUUAUAUGGCUUCUUUGCUUUCUCAAAGUCAAAGGAGUUUUAUGGCUGCAGGACUUUUAUGGUUCAAGGCUUUAAUCCAUUUUCAGUUAAGUUUUGUGUAUGGUAGAAGAUAGGAGUCCAGUUUCAUCCUUUUGAAUGUGGAUGUCAAGUUUUUCCGGCACCAUUUAUUGAAGAGACUAUCCUUUCCCCCUUGUGUAUCUGUGGCACCUUUGUCAAAAAAUAAUUGACCAUAUUUGAAUGACUGUAUUUAUUUUUGAACGUUUUCUCGAAGGAGCAAGAAAAAUAAAAAUUGUGGAAUAAAAUAAUUAGCCAAUUUGUGACUUCUUCCUUUCAGCUUUGUCCCUACACUCAGGCUGAGUGGGUCAGAAUUACAUAUAUUCAACAAUAAAUAUUCAACAAAUAUUUAUUGAGUUCUUACAUGGAUCAGACAUGGGGCUAGGUGAUGUGGAUCAAG